UCUGCUUCCGGGACAUCAGAACAGACUAAGGCUGUGGUAGAUGGAGGUGCUAUCCCAGCAUUCAUUUCUCUGUUGGCAUCUCCCCAUGCUCAUAUCAGUGAGCAAGUUGUGUGGGCUCUAGGAAGCAUUGCAGGUGAUGGUUCAGUUUUCCGAGACUUGGUUAUUAAGUAGGGUGCAGUUGACCCACUGUUGGCUCUUCUAGCUAUUCCUGAUAUGUCAUCUUUAUCACGUGGUUACUUAUUAAUCUUCCCUGGACACUUUCAAACCUUUGUCACAACAAGAAUCCCGCACCCCCAUUAGAUGCUGUGGAACAGAUUCUUCCUACUUCAGUGCGUCUCCUGCAUCAUGAUGAUCCAGAGGUAUUAGCAGAUACCUGCUGGGCUAUUUCCUACCUUACUGAUGGCCCAAAUGAACGGAUUGAAAUGGUUGUGAAAACAGGAGUUGUGCCCCAACUUGUGAAGCUUUGGGGAGCUACCAAAUUGCCAAUUGUGACUCCUGCAUGAAGAGCCAUAGGGAAUAUUGUCACUGGGACAGACGAAUAUGCUUAGGUUGUAAUUGAUGCAGGAGCACUUACUGUCUUUCCCAGCCUGCUGACCAACCCCCAAACUAACAUUCAAAAGGAAGCUACAUGGACAAUGUCAAACUUCACAGCUGCCCGUCAGGACCAGAUACAGCAAGUUGUAAAUCAUGGACUAGUCCCAUUACUUGUUGGUGUUCUCUCUGAGGCAGACUUUAAGACACAAAAGGACGCCGUAUGGGCUGUGACCAAUGAUACAAGUGGUGGAACAGUAGAACAGAUUGUAUACCUCGUUCAUUGUGGCAUAAUAGAACCGUUGACGAACCUCUUAACUGCAAAAGAUACCAAAAUUAUUCUGGUUAUUCUGGAUGCCAUUUCAAAUAUCUCUCAGGCUGCUGAGAAACUAGGUGAAACUGAGAAACUUAGUAUAAUGAUCGAAGAAUGUGGAGGUUUGGACAAAAUUGAAGCUCUACAAAACCAUGAAAAUGAGUCUGCGUACAAGGCUUCAUUAAACUUGAUUGAGAAGCAUUUCUCUGUAGAGGAAGAGGAGGAUCAAAAUGUAGUCCCAGAAACUACCUCUGAAGGCUGUACCUUCCAAGUUCAGGGUGGGACUCCUGGGCCUUUUAAGUUUUAGAUUGUAUAGCUGAGGCACAAAGUUGUCGUGUACUG